rnacentral:rRNA from 1 species
GGAUGCGAUCAUACCAGCACUAAAGCACCGGAUCCCAUCUGAACUCCGAAGUCAAGCGUGCUUGGGCGAGAGUAGUACUAGGAUGGCUGACCUCCUGGGAAGUCCUUGUGUUGCAUUCA